CGAACCUGCCCUCAGCUCUGGGAUAACUCCAAGAAAUUGGGGCUAAUACCGGAUAUGACUGCUGACCGCAUGGUCUGGUGGUGGAAAGAUUUAUCGCUUAGAGAUGGCUGUGCGGCUGAUUAGGUAGUUGGCGGGGUAAAGGCCCACCAAGCCUGCGAUCAGUAACUGGUGUGAGAGCACGACCAGUCACACGGGCACUGAGACACGGGCCCG
rnacentral:rRNA from 1 species